rnacentral:misc_RNA from 1 species
UCCGGUUUAUCACCGGCAGUCCCCUUAGGGUUCCCAACUAAAUGAUGGCAACUAAGGACGAGGGUUGCGCUCGUUGCGGGACUUAACCCAACAUCUCACGACACGAGCUGACGACAGCCAUGCAGCACCUGUCACCGGUCCAGCCGAACUGAAGGAAUCCAUCUCUGGAACCCGCGACCGGGAUGUCAAACGCUGGUAAGGUUCUGCGCGUUGCUUCGAAUUAAACCACAUGCUCCUCCGCUUGUGCGGGCCCCCGUCAAUUCCUUUGAGUUUCAACCUUGCGGUCGUACUCCCCAGGUGGAUUACUUAAUGCUUUCGCUCAGACGCGUACGGUGUAUUGCACACAUCGAGUAAUCAUCGUUUAGGGCGUGGACUAC